GCCCGUUUAGCUUAGUUGGUAGAGUGCAAGGCUCUUAACUUUGUGGUCGUGGGUUUGAGCCCUACUGUGGGCG